rnacentral:rRNA from 1 species
GACGAACGCUGGCGGCGUGCCUAAUACAUGCAAGUAGAACGCUGAAGGAGGAGCUUGCUUCUCUGGAUGAGUUGCGAACGGGUGAGUAACGCGUAGGUAACCUGCCCGGUAGCGGGGGAUAACUAUUGGAAACGAUAGCUAAUACCGCAUAAGAGUAGAUGUUGCAUGACAUUUGCUUAAAAGGUGCAAUUGCAUCACUACCAGUUGGACCUUCGUCGGUUUAUGUAGUUGGUGGGGUAAAGGCUUACCAAGGCGACGAUGCAUAGUCGACCUGAGAGGGGGGACGGCCACCCUGGGACGUGGACACGGCCCAGGCCGCCUAGGGGAGGAGCAAGAGGGAAACUUCGGGAAUGGGGGGAAAGCUUGACGGACAAAGCCGGGGGAGGGGAGAAAGGUGUCGGGUCGGAAAGCUCUGUUGUAAGGGAAGAAAGAGCUUGAGAGUGGAAAGUGCACACUGUGACGGUAUCUUAUCAGAAAGCGACGGCUAACUACGUG